rnacentral:rRNA from 1 species
CCUACGGGCGGCAGCAGUGGGGAAUAUUGGACAAUGGGCGAAAGCCUGAUCCUGCCAUGCCGCGUGUGUGAAGAAGGCCUUCGGGUUGUAAAGCACUUUCAGUGGGGAAGAAAGCCUUGGGGCUAAUACCCUCGAGGAAGGACAUCACCCACAGAAGAAGCACCGGCUAACUCCGUGCCAGCAGCCGCGGUAAUACGGAGGGUGCGAGCGUUAAUCGGAAUUACUGGGCGUAAAGCGCGCGUAGGCGGUCUGAUAAGCCGGUUGUGAAAGCCCCGGGCUCAACCUGGGAACGGCAUCCGGAACUGUCAGGCUAGAGUGCAGGAGAGGAAGGUAGAAUUCCCGGUGUAGCGGUGAAAUGCGUAGAGAUCGGGAGGAAUACCAGUGGCGAAGGCGGCCUUCUGGACUGACACUGACGCUGAGGUGCGAAAGCGUGGGUAGCAAACAGGAUUAGAUACCCCAGUAGUC